rnacentral:rRNA from 1 species
GAUCUUGGUUCAGGAUGAACGCUAGCUACAGGCUUAACACAUGCAAGUCGAGGGGCAGCGAGAAGAAAGCUUGCUUCUUGUCGGCGACCGGCGCACGGGUGAGUAACGCGUAUCCAACCUUCCUGCCAGUAGGGAACAGCCCGGCGAAAGUCGGAUUAAUGCCCUAUGUUCUUCAAUGCGGACAUCUAAGUUGAAGGAAAGAUUCAUCGCUGGCAGAUGGGGAUGCGUCCGAUUAGCUUGCCGGCGGGGUAACGGCCCACCGGGGCGACGAUCGGUAGGGGUUCUGAGAGGAAGGUCCCCCACACUGGUACUGAGACACGGACCAGACUCCUACGGGAGGCAGCAGUGAGGAAUAUUGGUCAAUGGGCGUAAGCCUGAACCAGCCAAGUAGCGUGCAGGAAUGACGGCCCUACGGGUUGUAAACUGCUUUUAUGCGGGGAUAAAGUGCGGCACGUGUGCCGCUUUGCAGGUACCGCAUGAAUAAGGACCGGCUAAUUCCGUGCCAGCAGCGGC